UCCCCCUGGGGUCGUACCUUGAUGCUCUACCCCUAAAACCCUCAUUCUAAGUACAGGAAUCAUUUUUAUGAUUUUUAACCCUCAUUUCUAACUCUAAAACUCUUACAAAAAGCUCUAGAACUCUCUAGUCUAGUUCACUAGUUUUCGGGGCUUAAUAUUAUAGGCGGUCUAAUUACUAAUAAAAUGACACCACUUAACCCCUAAUUAAUUCUAGAAAGUUCCCUUAACCCCCAACUUAACCGCCUAACUCACCCUCACCGCCUCACCCACGAGACCCCGAUCCAUGGGCCGUUGGUGGACCCACGGGCCAUGCUGGUCCUUCGUGGGUGGAGUCCUCCAAC
rnacentral:lncRNA from 1 species